CAGCAUCUACAAAAAGGAGUUACUACCGCAAAAUCCAAGAAACAUUGACAAACUGGUUAUGACAGGAUUUGCGAAAUGGUUAAGAAGAUGCGGGAGAAUGGGCAUGCAGUUGAUGAUGCCCUUUACGCACUAGCGACGGGUUCUGAUACUCGGGUAAGACAUUAUGAACCUUGCGUUGUCGGAGAUGUGCGCCACAACACCCUUGCACACGAUGAAGGCAGGAAGACACAAAACAGUGCCAUCAUGAGCACUGAUACGUACGGCAAAGAGACAACUGAAAUGUAUGCUAGCAUAACAGACAUUGUUUAGUUGCAGUAUAUCUCCAGUUUCGAGGAUCAUCAGUGUGUGGUUCUGUUGUGCCGUCGUUGGUAUAACCUGUUUUCCAGGAUCGCAAACCAGAGCUGGUGAUUAUUUCAAAUCCAUCAAUGUCAAGGCAGCGUAUCAGACCAACGAGCCUUUUAUUUUGGCAAAUCAAGCAACACAGAUAUUUUUCUUGGAAGACACAUUUGCACGUAGCGAUGACCGGAGAGUAUUGCAAUGGUUUGAGCAAAGGAAUUCAUUUAAUGAAGUUGCACAACAAGAUGAUGCUUAUACUACUGCUGACCUACAAUAUUCCACAGAUGUUCCUAAUAUCUUUGAGAAUUAUCAUGUUAAUGACGCUGGCAAAAAGAUUGUCUGUUGUGCUGUGGACAUACAAGAGUUGAUCAAAAAGAAGCCAACGUUCGAGGACAUUGAGGAUGAAGAAGAAGAUGACACUAUGGGAAUUACGAUUCAGACUGAUACACAUGGCAAAGAUGUUGACGCUGCUGCUGUGGAUGAUGAUUAGAUUGCUUUUGUCGUAUUUGCCUGUCAGAAGACGUUUUUUAUCUGCUAUGUAAAUUGUGUUUUUUAUGACAACUGAAACCUGAUGAACGUGUUGUUUAGUAUUUUGCUGUGAGAACAUCACUUCUUAUGUAUGUUGAUUUGUGUUUGGUGAUUGUAUGAUGACUAAAACAUGAUGACAUUGUCGUUUAGUUGUACUCAUAUUUGGUUGUGAAACUUGAA